CUCUCCUUAGUUCAAUGGAUAGAACCUCUGUCUUCUAAACAGAUAAUUCCAGUUCGAAUCUGGAAGGAGAGA
rnacentral:tRNA from 1 species